rnacentral:rRNA from 1 species
GAUGAACGCUGGCGGCGUGCCUAAUACAUGCAAGUCGAGCGAACGGACGAGAAGCUUGCUUCUCUGAUGUUAGCGGCGGACGGGUGAGUAACACGUGGAUAACCUACCUAUAAGACUGGGAUAACUUCGGGAAACCGGAGCUAAUACCGGAUAAUAUUUUGAACCGCAUGGUUCAAAAGUGAAAGACGGUCUUGCUGUCACUUAUAGAUGGAUCCGCGCUGCAUUAGCUAGUUGGUAAGGUAACGGCUUACCAAGGCAACGAUGCAUAGCCGACCUGAGAGGGUGAUCGGCCACACUGGAACUGAGACACGGUCCAGACUCCUACGGGAGGCAGCAGUAGGGAAUCUUCCGCAAUGGGCGAAAGCCUGACGGAGCAACGCCGCGUGAGUGAUGGAGGUCUUCGGAUCGUAAAACUCUAUUAUUAGGGAAGAACAUAUGUGUAAGUAACUGUGCACAUCUUGACGGUACCUAAUCAGAAAGCCACGGCUAACUACGUG